GAUGAACGCUGGCGGCGUGCCUAAUACAUGCAAGUCGAGCGAACAGACGAGGAUCUUGCUCCUCUGACGUUAGCGGCGGACGUGUGAGUAAAACGUGGAUAACCUACCUAUAAGACUGGGAUAACUUCGGGAAACCGGAGCCAAAACGGGAUAAUAUAUUGAACCGCAUGGUUCAAUAGUGAAAGACGGUUUUGCUGUCACUUAUACAUGUAUCCGUGCCGCAUUAGCUAGUUGGUAAGGUAACGGCUUACCAAGGCGACGAUGCGUAGCCGACCGGAGAGGGUGAUCGGCCACACUGGAACUGAGACACGGUCCAGAGUCCUACGGGAGGCAGCAGUAGGGAAUGUUCCGCAAUGGGCGAAAGCCUGACGGAGCAACGCCGCGUGAGUGAUGAAGGUCUUCGGAUCGUAAAACUCUGUUAUUAGGGAAGAACAAAUGUGUAAGUAACUAUGCACGUCUUGACGGUACCUAAUCAGAAAGCCACGGCUAACUACGUG
rnacentral:rRNA from 1 species